UACAGAGGGUGCGAGCGUUAAUCGGAAUUACUGGGCGUAAAGCGCGCGUAGGCGGCUUUGCAAGUCGGGUGUGAAAUCCCCAGGCUUAACCUGGGAACUGCAUUCGAGACUGCAUUGCUAGAGUAUGGGAGAGGGAAGUGGAAUUUCCGGUGUAGCGGUGAAAUGCGUAGAUAUCGAGAGGAACACCUGCGGCGAAGGCGGGUUGCUGGGCUGACACUGACGCUGAGGCGCGAAAGCGUGGGGAGCAAACAGG
rnacentral:rRNA from 1 species